rnacentral:rRNA from 1 species
GAUCCUGGCUCAGGACGAACGCUGGCGGCGUGCUUAACACAUGCAAGUCGAACGCUGAAGCUUGGUGCUUGCACUGGGUGGAUGAGUGGCGAACGGGUGAGUAAUACGUGAGUAACCUGCCCUUGACUCUGGGAUAAGCCUGGGAAACUGGGUCUAAUACUGGAUAUGACAUGUCACCGCAUGGUGGUGUGUGGAAAGGGUUUUACUGGUUUUGGAUGGGCUCACGGCCUAUCAG